rnacentral:lncRNA from 1 species
GUCAGAGUUGAUGUCCAUUUCUGUGGAGUUAACUUUGGUGAUAUUUUGAUCUGCCGUGAUCAAUAUCAGGAAAGGCCCCAUCUUCCCUUCACACCUGGAAUGGACUUUUCUGGGACAGUAUUGGAGACAGGCACAGAUGUCAGGACAGUUAAAGAGGGAGAUAGAGUUAUUGGCACAAGAAACUUUAAUUGUAUGGCUGAAGAAUGCGUCACUGACCAGAAGGACCUGUGGCAGAUUCCAGAAAAGGUCUCCCUAUAAGAAGCUGCUGUCCUCCCUAUAACUUAUGGCACUGCGAUUUUUGCUCUUGAGCAUUGGGCCCGUACCCAGCCUGGGUAAUAUAGCUGCUGCUGGAAGUGACGAGAAGUGCAAGCUGGCGAUGCAGAGGGGUGCGCAGUCCAGCGUGAACUACAGUCAGGGCAGCCUGAAGGAUGCAGUCAAUGAUGCCUUCCUUCAUGUGAUACAGGGGAAAUCCGUGGGCAAGGUGCUUCUCGCUCUUAAAUAAAUCCUUGCCUGAGCAGCAAAGUUAACAUGUCCAGAUCAAAACUCCACAUCUUUCCC